UUGACCUACAAAUGAGAAUCGUUAUGAUUAUCACAACUGGUCGCGAGGCCAGCCGAUAAUCUGGCGCCGAAGGGUCUCAGCUUAUCUCCUCAUCAGGCUAAUCACGGUUAUUGACCCGGCUUUUUGCCGGGUCUUUUUUUG
rnacentral:sRNA from 4 species